UUUCUAGUGGCGGACGGGUGAGUAACGCGUGGGUAACCUGCCUUAUACAGGGGAGUAACAACCAGAAAUGGUUGCUAAUACCGCAUAAGCGCACAGGACCGCAUGGUCCGGUGUGAAAAACUACCGGUGGUAUAAGAUGGACCCGCGUUGGAUUAGCUAGUUGGCAGGGUAACGGCCUACCAAGGCGACGAUCCAUAGCCGGCCUGAGAGGGUGAACGGCCACAUUGGGACUGAGACACGGCCCAGACUCCUACGGGAGGCAGCAUG
rnacentral:rRNA from 1 species